rnacentral:rRNA from 1 species
UGCAGUCGAACGGUGAACGAGGAGCUUGCUCCUCUGGAUCAGUGGCGAACGGGUGAGUAACACGUGAGUAACCUGCCCCAGACUCUGGGAUAAGCACUGGAAACGGUGUCUAAUACCGGAUACGAGCUUCAGCCGCAUGGCUAGGAGCUGGAAAGAAUUUCGGUCUGGGAUGGACUCGCGGCCUAUCAGCUAGUUGGUGAGGUAAUGGCUCACCAAGGCGACGACGGGUAGCCGGCCUGAGAGGGUGACCGGCCACACUGGGACUGAGACACGGCCCAGACUCCUACGGGAGGCAGCAGUGGGGAAUAUUGCACAAUGGGCGCAAGCCUGAUGCAGCAACGCCGCGUGAGGGACGACGGCCUUCGGGUUGUAAACCUCUUUUAGUAGGGAAGAAGCGAAAGUGACGGUACCUGCAGAAAAAGCACCGGCUAACUACGUGCCAGCAGCCGCGGUAAUACGUAGGGUGCAAGCGUUAUCCGGAAUUAUUGGGCGUAAAGAGCUCGUAGGCGGUUUGUCGCGUCUGCUGUGAAAACUGGAGGCUCAACCUCCAGCCUGCAGUGGGUACGGGCAGACUAGAGUGCGGUAGGGGAGAUUGGAAUUCCUGGUGUAGCGGUGGAAUGCGCAGAUAUCAGGAGGAACACCGAUGGCGAAGGCAGAUCUCUGGGCCGUAACUGACGCUGAGGAGCGAAAGCAUGGGGAGCGAACAGGAUUAGAUACCCUGGUAGUCCAUGCCGUAAACGUUGGGAACUAGAUGUAGGGACCAUUCCACGGUUUCUGUGUCGCAGCUAACGCAUUAAGUUCCCCGCCUGGGGAGUACGGCCGCAAGGCUAAAACUCAAAGGAAUUGACGGGGGCCCGCACAAGCGGCGGAGCAUGCGGAUUAAUUCGAUGCAACGCGAAGAACCUUACCAAGGCUUGACAUAUACCGGAAAAGUUCAGAAAUGUUCUCCCCGCAAGGUCGGUAUACAGGUGGUGCAUGGUUGUCGUCAGCUCGUGUCGUGAGAUGUUGGGGUUAAGUCCCGCAACGAGCGCAACCCUCGUUCUAUGUUGCCAGCACGUAAUGGUGGGAACUCAUAGGA